GGAUGUGAAGGCCAUUUGGCUGCGACAUCUGUCACCCCAUUGAUCGCCAGGGAUGAUUCGGCUGAUCUGGCUGGCUAGGCGGGUGUCCCCUUCCUCCCUCACCGUUCCAUGUGCGUCCCUCCUGAAGCUGCACACUCGGCCGAAGAAGACGGCCUUCCCUGAGAAGUGACAGACCAGUCUUCCAUCAUAGGAGUAGCUGUGCUCCCCUGCUAGAACCUCCAAACAAGCUCUCAAAGUCCAUUUGUAGGAGAACUUCCAAGACUCCAGACAUAUAUACAAAUGAGGCGCUGCAUGUGGCAAUCUGCACCCC
rnacentral:snRNA from 1 species